AAAGUCUCUCUUUGCCUCCGUCGCUGAUUUAAGGCUACAGUUGGUUGCGUGUCGCUACUCUCCCUUUCUGCUCCAUCUGUCCCUCCCCCAUCCUCUCUCCUCUUUCUCUCCUUCCUCUCUUCAUUUCCCUCUCUCCCUCUCUCUGUCUGUCUCUCUCUCUCUCUUCACACCAAAGCCUGGGGGAGCCAGUGGAGAUUAUAUGUAGCCUCUAUAAGCCAAAGCACAUCAUGUAGCAAUGUUUCUGUGGCCCUCUCCCUCACUCUCUGAAGGGAUAAUGGGAUUGAUGUCGGCCCAUGGAAGAACGGAAAGAAAGACGGAAUGUAGGAAAGAAAGAAAAAGAAACAAAUCGUGUUUGCAAAAGGGAGCAGGGGAUUUCCUUCAAGGGUGCAAAACUGACAAUGGUAAGGUGGGGAAAAAAACAAGUCAAGGUCCACCCCCUUCUCCUUCUCUCUCUCACCUUACCCCUUUCCCUCGCUCAUCUGAUAGGGAAGAAAGAGUGGGCCUCUAGCUGGAACUGAUUACAGCUGUGGGGCAAAUCAAUGGAUGAUAUUGCUUCUCCCUUUCUCUCGGUUUUUUAAUGUUUCCUCUCUUUGCCAAUAAAUGUGAAGAGGAAAAUUAUGACGGGGGGAUUCUAAAGACAAAUACAGUACUAGGAUGAAAAAGGGGAGGAUUUGUCCAGGAGCUUUUUUUCCCCUGUCGUCUUUCUUUUCCACUUCUGAUCGAAAAAAGAGAAAAAAACAAAACAAUGAAAGAAAGCGAUGAGGAAGAGCAAAAUCCAAGCUGGACAAGAGAUUUGUGUACUUGUGUUUAUUGACGUGUGUGUGUGUGUCUGUCCAACCUGCCUUAAGACGUUCAAGUUCAGACACAAAAUUAGGCGCUGGUGCAAGGAAGGUAAAAGUGUGUGUGUGUGUGUGUGUGUGUGUCCGCUCAGUGAGUGAGGCUGCAUACUGGUAUGCUUCACUGGCCCUGUGCACCCGCCCGGGCUGCAAGCGCUCAUGCUGUUGCUUGAUACUCAGCCAUUCAAACUCCCCCUUCUCAACAUCUUGCGCUUGUGUAUCACUUCCAUCUAUUUUCCAGAAAGAGGAAUUACAUCGCCUAGUCUCCCUCUCUCCCUUUUCGUGUGUGAGGGAGAGAGCGAGAGAGAGAAAGGAGAGAGAGACAGAAAGCGAGAGAGAGAGAGAGAGAGAGAGAGAGAGAGAGAGGCACCACCGAUAGCGGGAGGAGAGAGAGAGAGCGUACACAUGGUUCAUUCCGACUCGGUCUAUCACCCAUCUCUCUUUCUUGCUUCUGCCAUCACUCUCUGACUGUGAGCAGUUUGCUUGAAACGAUGGUUCUGCUUUUGGUGAAGUCAUUAUUACUCAAACAAAAUCUUCUGUCGAUGCUACCUGGAAUCUCCUUGGUGUGCUGCUUUAACUUUAAAUCUGAGCUUUCUCUCUUUGCCUGUUUUUCUUUCAUCCUCUUCUGAGCAGGAAAGUGAGCUAGGAGACGAAAAAGCAGGAAUCGCCCGUUUCAAAAGCAGAGCCUCAUCUCUGCUGCAGACAAGAAGAAGCUACGUCAUUAAUAAGCAGCCCACGUUCUUCGACUUUUUGACAUGGCUGUAAAUGUUAGCAGCGCCCCCUUUGCGUGUGAAUCGAGCACGUCUUCCGUUCACCAUACCUACGCACAUUGGGUGGAGCAACAAGAUGGCGUCGUGCCUCCAUGUCAAGUCUCCUUUACAUGCCAAUUUCUGCUACAUAGGAAGCUUUAAGUCUGGAUUUCAUCCCACUCCUUUUUGAACAUGCAAAACUUGUGUUAAGUGUUUCAUUAUUUAUUGUUGAUUGUUUUGUUUUCAUCUUCAAAAUCAACUUAAAUUAAUCCAACGUAUCACACCCCUUGAUAGUUGGACACGCUCACCUCAUUCAUUGUACUUUAUAGAGAUUAAUGUCAUCAAUGAUAUGUCAACAAACAAAAUAUAUUCACAUCUGUGAACGUGCCUCAGCUUUAAUUGUGUUGCUUUUGUGUUCAUUCCCCACAACCACCACCACCAAAAAAGACCGCCGGGCUUGAUGUCAAGGUAGCGUGGGUCCGUCUGUGGUGUUGUCCUUCAUAUCGUGUUUAAUUUAUUCACCUUGUUGGAAAAUUGCUAUUUUCACAGACACAUGGCUAGGCAUGUGGCAUGGCAUGACAAAGGUUAAAAAAAAAUGUGUAUGAUGAAUAGAUAAUGAAUAGUAUAGUAUGAAUAGAAUAAUAAUCAACAGCUAAUCGAUUGUCAAAUUAAUCGAUAACGAUCUUGAUAAUCGAUUAAUCGUUUAGAGACCUUGUUUCACUUAAAAUUGUCCAAAUUUCAGCCUCUCAACAGUAAAUAUUGUCCGAUUUGUGUAGUCCUCCAUGAAAGCAGACUGAUUAAUCGAAAAAUAAUCGACAGAUAUAUAAUAUCACAAUCAUUACUUGCAGCACUAAUUGUAACUGCUCCGGCCUUCAAUUGAAGGGGAACAACGGUAUAUUUGAAAAUGAUGAUUGGAAGCUUUAAUGUCAUGUCUGAUUAAUAAUGGUUUGAGUAACCAAAAACUAAUUAUUUUUUUCCUUUUCAUCAUUUUAUUUUUAUCUCCUUUCAUGUAUUAUGCCAUAAAAUGUAAUUUUUAAAAAUGUUUUCUUCAAAAGGGCCACAGAGAAAGGAAACUGAUGGUUAAAGAAACUGUAAUUUCAAUUACAGUACAUGCUACACAUCCGGCCACUUACGUUCUUUAUUUUGAUGCAUCCUGUUUGUAGCACUUCACUUGUCUCCCAACCCGAGCUAACCAUGCAGCUAAAAUGUGAGCUUCUUCAAAAAGAGGGAAAUGAGGUUGGCGAGUUUCAACAAAAAGAACAGCACAUUUUGACAGAAAACACUUUACUAAGAGUCUUCAUUCCACCUGGAGAUUCCAGCAUUGCAAGUCUGCUAUGUAAACUGAUAUUUGUGGUGUUAAAGUUCCAACUAGCUUCUUUGGCAACAGUACACACAGCAGAAUCCAGAGAGCGUAAUUAUGAAAAAGGGGAAAAAAUGAUUACUUGCAGAUAGAGGAAUUUCAUUGGACAGAGAUUAAUAUUUACAGGGAAUAUAAACAGUCUACACUCCUGUGCAAAUGCUAGGUUUUCGUGGUAAGAAAAAAAAAAUGAGACCAAGGUAAAUAAUUUCUAAACGUUUUCCACCUUUAAUGUAAUCUAUUACCUGUACAACUCAAUUGAAAAAAACCCAAAAAACAUAUUUUCGUGAGGGGAAGUAAAAAUAAACUGAGGCAAAUUCAACCUUGGUUUCAUCAGACUGUAACGUAUUUUCCGACAUAUGUAGGAUCCAAUGAAACCAAGGUUGAAGUUUUUGUUCUUAAUUCCAAAAGGUAUUUUUGGCCCAAACACAACACUGGUUAUCACCCAAAGAACAGCAUAACUACAGUGAAGCGUGGGGGUGGCCGCAUCAGGCUUGAGGGCUGGUUUUCUCCAACUGUAACUGGCACCUGAGACAAGGUGGAAGGAAUUAUGAACAGUUCUAAAUAGUAGUUCGUCUUAGCACAAAACCUUCAAGCUUGUGCUUGAAAGCAAAGAAACAGUUGAACUUUAUUCAGGGUUAAUCAGAGGCACUUUAAAUGGUGGCAGGUGUGUGCUGACGCCCAUUUAUCAUGAGUUUGAAUGUGAUUGGUUAAUUCUGAACAGUUAUAACAGGGUGUUCACACUUAUGCAACCACAUUAUUUCCGUUAUUUUUACUUCCCCUCUUGAAAAGAUUAAAAAAAAAAUUCCAUUUGUUACAAGUUAUAAGUGAAAUUGAUGGUCGAAUUUCUUUUUUUUUUACUUUUUUUUUAAUCAUUUGGUCUCAUUUUUUAUAUCACAAAAACCUGCCAUUCAUACAGGAGUGUGUAGACUUUUUAUAUUAACUGUAGAUGUAAUGUUUAAAUAUGAACUGUCUAUGAAUUAACAUAUAAUCAUUAAAUUUGCAUUAUGAUAAAUCAUCAUGAAAUACUGUAUAUUGUUUUAUUAUGUAUGUAUUUAAAGGCACAAACACACCUCACCAAAGCGCACUACUGGAUUACCAGUUUCUUAUCUGCAUGUGGUUUAUGGUUUCAUUUGAUCCAUGUAAAAUGUUGCAGUUACCAUGGUGUUCCAAAUUACGAUUUAAGUGAAAUAAAGAUUUGAGUUUUUAGUUUUUCUAGGACACUUUUUGCUUAUGUCCAUUUAGAUCGAACCAAACAAAGCUGCAACAUUUGCAAGGAGGUGACAGAGUGACAUUUUUUUUUUCAACUCACUUCACAAUAAGCAGCAGUUUGGCAAAUAGUGAACAAUUCAUCAAAAAGAGGCUUCAAGCUGUUUAGUGCCACUCCCAGUUGAAGGUUACUGUCAAACUAAACAUAAAACAAAGACACAUUGUGCAAUUUAAAUCACUACGUAGGGCUAUGAAAGUCUGUUUAGCUUAAUGCUAACAUACAUGGAAAAUCAAAUUUACAGGCUGGCAGUUAGGAUUAACAGUCGCACACAAAGGUUGGAGCAACACAUUUAGACAUAUAUAACUCACAGCCAAGUAUUUGUUGUCCUGUAUGAAAAAAUUACUAAUAUUACAGCAUUUUACAGAGUAACUCACAGUAGAAGUAGUAGUAGUCGUGGUAGUAGUUGUAGUAGAAGAAGAAUAUUCUACUUUAUGACUACAUGACUGUAUUAUACUGCACUGCCACCCAGUGGCUAGGACGGGCAGAGCACAUUGACCUGGAUUGCGACAUUGAAUUAUGAUGCACAAACUGGUCAACUCCAUCCAUCCAUUCUCUGCUUAUCCUCACUCGGGUCACAAAUGUGCUGGAGCCUAUCCUCACUGACUAUGGAUGAGAGGCAGAACUGUUUAAUUGUUUAAGUUAUAUUGAAUUAUGUUAUUACUAAAGGUUUUUUUUUUUAUAAAGUACCUGUACAAUAUGGUAGAGUACAGUUUCAAUGGAUCAGAGAGUUAGGAUGAUAUCAAAGAGCGGUUCUUAUGUUAACAUGCAACUUGAUCUGCACAUUUGUAUUUUAAAACGGUCUCUCUGUGGUGACAGAAAUAUGAAAGUUUUUUCUAUUUGAGUUAUUUAUUGGAUUUUUAAAAAUGUUGUGCAUAAUAAUUUGGAGUGCUGCAUUUUGAGUAAAUAAAAACAAAAUAGCUACUGUUAUCGUUGUUGCGUGUGGUUGUUGUUGUUUUUUUUUUUUCAUUAACAUCCUCAAUAUCAUAGAAACUAACAUUGUCAUGAUCCAUUCAGAGUUUUUCAUUUGUUACAUUGUAAAAUAAAGACUAUCAGUCGCAUACCACAACGCUCUGUAUCUGUUUUGCAGUCCGGAACAAUUAAAACCGACCACAUGUAUAGAUUAUUAAUAAAUUAAAAAAAUAUGUUCACUGUAAUUCACAAUGACUCUUUAGGAAAAUAAACAGAAACACAUAAUACUAUACCUAUGAACUUGGAACACAGUGUCAUCACUUCUUGUGUACUGGGCAAAUUGAAUUCUUCUGUUUAUAACACAGUGCGGCACGGCGGUGACUGGUUAGCAUGUCUGCCUCACAGUUCUGAGGAGCCGGAUUCGCCCGAAGAUGGAUGGGAUAGUCUGCAGAACGCCCGCGACCCUAGUGAGGAUAAGCGGUACAGAAGAUGAUUGAAUAUUUAUAACACAAAAUGGUAAAGGUAGUACAGGUAUUUUUUUCCCCCACAAAGACAUGCUAUUUGAGUUAUUUAUAUAUUCUUUGGAUCUAUUUUUAUACCCUUUAGUGUCUUAUCGCUUUCACAAGAUUGCUUUUUAAAUUCCAUUUCAACGGUUUACUAAAGCCUGCUCGUAGCUGGAGAGGGUCUUCAUUGGCUCUAGAUUUGUCAAGAGUCACUUUUUGGAAAAUAGAGGGGUCAGACAAGUCACUAAAUAUAGCAACAAAGUCGCUAAAUUGUCAACACUGGGACAAUAAUCCACAAAAUGACUUGAUUGGCAGGACUCACAUUGCUUUCCUAUGGGGCCAGACUUGAGUACUGCACGUGCAUAAUGAAAGCUACCAGGCUUUACAGACUGAGGUAAAAAUAUGUUCCUGCAAGGUAAAUGCAUACAUGUUGGCAUUUCUACGUGUAACUGUAGCGAUGUUAUUGUGAUGCUUUGCAAAUGUACUGUUGAAACAGUCCUGUCUCUAUUUACAGCCUAUAGGCUUGGUUAGAACGCCUAAAUACUGUCAACAAUAUAUUCCUGAUACACCGGUAUAAUACGUUACAUUAAAACUAAAAAUCCUUUUUGUUAAGAGAUGAUGUUUAGUACCAUCUUUGUGUGCUGUCCAUUUUAUUCUCAACAUGUGAACCGUCAACGUCUAACUUCUACCAACAGGAACUACUGCCAUGCAAUUCUGAAUGCAACAAGGGUCCUUCUCUGCAUUGCUAUGUUCAAAACAUUGACUAGCUAACUAAAUUAUUUUUGGAAAUUUACAUUUGAAAUAGGACCUCAAAAAAAGAAAUGAUAAAAAUUUCCAUUUUUGUCAAUCAGGAAGGAGAUUGGCAAUCAAUUUGUCAAUUAAUAAUGUGCGAUGAAUAUCAUUUCCUUCAAUGCAAUUUCAAUGUGUUUUAUUUGAAUUUAGAUCAUUUCCCCUUCUUUUCACUAAAACCUACACAAAAUACGCUUGUUAUUGUUGUUCAUGCUCCUGCUGUCUCUAUCCAUCCAUUGCCUGCGUGCGCUGCCAGUAAAUCCAUGCUGAGAUUUGGCACACAACACACACGCACAUACACUCAAGAGCUCGGCAGGCAAAUGUAGGCCAGAAGCCAUCUGAGGAUGGGGCUCAGUGAAAGAUGCAGUAAGUCAGGCAACAAGGAAGAUAUUACAGACAAGAAAAGUCAUCUGGAAUAGAACGCAGGUAUGAGUUUUAGACUGUAUGAUGGACACACCCAUACCGUUGUUUAAGGUCUGGUUUUAUAAGCCAAUGCUUAAUAAAUGAGUAACAACUAAUGGGAAGGAAAAGCAUGGUGCAAAAGUGUGGUCAAAACAUUUAUAAAUAUUCUGCACUUUCAUUACUGACAAAUGAAAGUACAAAUUCUGCCAACAUCCCAAAUAAGUACAGUACAUUAACGGUAACAUUACUUUGCUUGCUCAGUGAAUCUUUCGAUGAAAUGCAACAAAAAUUCUUGCGUGCCAACUUUCUUAAAAAUGCAAGACAUAUACAGUAUGUGGCACACGAUUGAUUUUUAAAAAAAUAUAUAUUUUUUUGUCAUUUUAUUGAACUGUUCCACCACCUCCUUCAGAGGUUCUUAAAGAAUCCUCUCUUAUAGAAGACAAAUGUGAGUUCCAUGUUCAUGUUCAUGUGUCAUUCGUGUUUCAAUGUGUCUGCUGGUGUAUCCACACGGAGCCCUUCAAGGUCAGUGAAAGAACUCACAUUAAGUUCUCACAAAGACUGACUAACUUUUAUAUAGCGCUUUGAUUUGCAUGGACAGAUCUACUGCUUCCCACCUCACAAAGCUGGAGAGUCAGGUGCUACGCAAGCAUUUGAGCCUGAAAGUCAGUACGAUGUGGGAAACCAUUAAUUGCUCGCCCUCAAGCUGUCCCUGGAGGAAUGGAGACGAACGGCUACGGUAUUAAAACUAAUGGGAGGAAGUACCUUGAGAAAAGCCACAGAAACACGAGGAGGACAGGCGAACUCCGCACAGGAAGCCCAGAGGCGAGAUUUGAAUGCCAAACCUCAAAACUGUGAGUCAGAUGUGCUAACCACUAGGACACCAUGCUGUUCCAUCAAUGUCCAGAUAACAUUAAAAGUAUUUCCAAGAUGUUUAAUUGAUCUAUUGAUUGUAAUUGUCCUCCACCACAGUGACAGCCACGGGGAUGUUGUCCAGUUUGUUCAGGAUUUAUGGGCUUUUCAUAUUCUAGGAGUUCUGCCUGUUCAAGUCUCCAGUGUGACUACCUGUGAAAGAGGAGACCACCAGUAUCACGGACCUAUUGAAUAGUAAUGUAGAUGUCAAUGUAAAUGUAGUAAAUAACCAAAUUGAACUUUAUUUUGCACUCUAAAAGUAUUAUUUGUAUUAAUCAGUUAUUGAGGUUAUUUUUCAUUUCAUCUAUUCAAAUGUAGAAUAUGCUUAUGUUUAAGUUACACAGUGGUUAUAUUUCAAUUUGAAUAUAUAUUUUUCGUUCUUUGUUAUUUUUCAGGAUUUACUAAUAUCAUUUUUAUUUAUUUUAUUCAAUUGUAGUACAUUGUUAUUUUUAAAGUUACUUUAUGUAACCCAUUGGUUAAUAAUAAAUGGGUGAAUUUUUCUCAUACCUACUAUUGCGGAUUAUUGUGUUAUUGAGUAAUAUCACUUGAUCAAGCCUUUUGUAACAUUCCAUACUACAAAAUAAGUAAAGUGUGUAUGAUUAUUGCUGAUAUCGGAUCGGAGCAAUAUCGGUAUAGGCCAUAAUUCAAGGCUGCAAUAUCGGUAUCAGAUCGGGAGUAAAAAAAAUUGGAUGGGGAUAUCCCUAGUGGCGUGCUCCGAUAAUCUCAACACUGAACAUCACACACAUAAAGAUUGUCAUCUGCCGCCAAUCUAGAAAAAAGUGCCCCAAGGCAGAAAUCUCUCUUGAUCACGUGUGAUCUGACAAAGCAAAGAAGAACAAACACUUCCGGAUAUGUUGCGCCGAUGUUUGCUGAGUAUUGCCGAAGGGCGGGAGUGUUAUGGAAUGGUGAUGUCGUCAAAAAAGGACUUGCUUUGGAAAAUUCCUCUUGCCGUCUGGAGUGCCCAUUUUUAUACAAAAAAGGAUAUUGGUUGGGACAUGUUUGUUUUUAUUUGUGACUGCUUCAUUGUUCCUCAGGGCGCUUCUUUGUUUGGCUACAUUCCCUCCCACAUCACAAUUAACUUAGUCAUGACUGAAUAUUAUUUAAGAUUGUCGGCCUGACCCAUUUCUGACCCUAUUAUCGGAACAAAUUCCCCCUUAACACACCUCAGACUGAUAUGGUAAUCUUGUGGAAAAAUCUUGGAAACAUAAAAUAUUCUGAUGUUUGUCGUCUUUGGUCGUGAAAAUGGAAAACUGGGACACAAGCAGGACCAGUACCAGGAUUAACGUUGGUCAAUUCAGCAUCUGAGGCAAAAACUGCGCAGACCAAAGGAUGAACCAGACACGUGUUUUGCUCUUUUUAUGCUCCUGUUCAAGAUCAUUCUGUCAUUUGUUCUCAGGUAAGAGCAAAUCUUAUGGCGAACACUCAACAGUACUCACACAAGUAAAGCAAUUGAUGAUUAUGAUUUAUUUAAUUUGCCACUUCAUUGAUAUUAUAGGAUUUACAUUAAGAUUGCACAGAACUUCACAAGGUAGGGGUUCACCAACAAGAUGGGUACCUUUCACAUUUGAUUCAGUACUCAACGGUACCAAUUUUUGGUGCAUUUGUGUGGGAGAACAUGCAAAUUCCAGACAGGAAGGCCGGAUUUGAGCCCAGGUCUUCACAACUGUGAGUCAGAUGUGCUAACCAGUCGCCCACUGUAUAGUAUAAAGUGCGAAGCAACCUCCUUUGCAAUGGACUGCACAUAGAAACAAGAUAAACAGUAAUUGUGUUACGAUGUAUGACGUAUUAUAACUAAUGUAAAUUAAGAUUUUCAACUACGCACAUACUGUAUGUAUUACAACAUAACAUUGGAGGGACUGUUGGCAAGCUGCUGUGCCUCCUCCGGUGUUUUUCGCUAUUUUGUACUUAGUUUUAUCGCUUUACUAAAGAUUGUCUUAUAUGAAUGCCGGACCUUAAAGUCAUUUGUUAGACUCGGCUUGCUUGAUCGAACACUCUGCGACCCCGAAAGAGUAACUAAACACAAUUUAGCUGUCUGGUAGUAUCCUGCUUCACCACUCAUUGGCCUAAAGCUACCUUCGCUGGUACAGGGUUCACCUGUGUAGGACUUCUGUGGCUCCUUUCCGCGCUCUGUGGAUGGACAGCCUGCUCUGGUGUGCCCCACGAUGCACUCCUACUUGGACCAGUCUGCUGCCACCCUGCCAGCUUUCCUAAACGCUUACUUGCGCCCACUGAUUGCCGUCAACGCGAAGGACGUCCCCUCCCGACACACCGACCGGCCGGCCAGCUUGCUGCUAAUUCCGAAGCGCUGUCCAACUAGUCCCCGGCUCCAGCGAAUCUACAAUCAGUACACUCCACUCCUCUGGCUCUGCCAUGGUUUAACAUUGCUGCCGAUCUUCCGUCAUGCGCUGUCUGACUCUGACGAGCACUACUCCGCUGCUUCGUUACUCGGAGGCAAAGAUGUUAGGUCUUUGGAUCUUUUCAUGGAUUUUUCAGGAUACCGUCAAUCUAUGCUGGUUUGUUGUGAAUGUGAGUGAACCGAGGGACGUCAUUGCACUUGUACGUGCACUGCUGCAUCCAAGUGCCCCAUGGCAAUUGGCCAACUCUUCAAGUCCUGCUGCCCGUACAGUCACAAGGGUGUGCGUAGGUCCCGAAACAUGGUACUGAAUUCGAUCUGUAUCCCACCCCAAAAAAAUAACGAUUUCAUUACCCACCCUUACACAGUUAGACAUUCCUGUAAAUUCUACAAUUAUUUACCACAUGCCUUACUAUACUAAACGAUUAUGUCGAAAUUAACUAGUUUCCACUGCAUCAUGGGAUUUUGGUUGAUGUCACGCAGAGAAUUAGUGUAUUUUGCAUUCAGCAGAAUUGUGAAGCCGUGUACCUCCCAGCAUUCAUUGUGCCAUAUAAUGUUGAACUGUUGCUGUAAUAAAGACAUUAAUCCUUCAUGUUCACGAACAAUAAGGAUUAACGCAACAUUGAUCAUGUGUGUUUAUGUUACCCGUAGUUCGUUGAAUGUGUGUCUUAUUUAACAUGUACGUUGCGCUUUGUUUUCAUGAAACCCUGACUGUGGGUUGUGUGCAAUAGAGUAACAUCCCGGUCAGUUAUACGCCUUGGUAAGAUAAGGGUCACUUGGUCUACUUCUUCUGCAAGCCAAAAGCGCUCCUGUUUACUUGUGUGGCUCAUCGGCACCCACAAUGAAAAGAAACAUUGAUUUGACACUGCAGUAAGUUACCGUAGUUCAAGUUCAAAAAGCCUGUGAAAUGUCUAACAGUAUAGUCAACAACCUUUGACACUAUGAGAGCUGUUAUAACAAUGAAAGGAGCCAAGAGUUAUGUGUGUUUGAUUCGUUUCCCCACUUGCACAACAUAAUAGUAUCCAAUGCAAGAACGGUAUACCAAAUUGUACAUUAACCAAACUAAUAAUGUCAAAUUUUUAUUGAUACUGUCAGAGAGGUAUUAAUUUAAAAACGUUCCUUAUUGUGAUUGUUGUAUGUAGUGG